rnacentral:rRNA from 1 species
AGAGUUUGAUCCUGGCUCAGGAUGAACGCUAGCUACAGGCUUAACACAUGCAAGUCGAGGGGAAACGAUAUUGGAAGCUUGCUUCCGAUAGGCGUCGACCGGCGCACGGGUGAGUAACGCGUAUCCAACCUGCCCAUCACUUGGGGAUAACCUUGCGAAAGUAAGACUAAUACCCAAUGAUAUCUCUAGAAGACAUCUGAAAGAGAUUAAAGAUUUAUCGGUGAUGGAUGGGGAUGCGUCUGAUUAGCUUGUUGGCGGGGUAACGGCCCACCAAGGCGACGAUCAGUAGGGGUUCUGAGAGGAAGGUCCCCCACAUUGGAACUGAGACACGGUCCAAACUCCUACGGGAGGCAGCAGUGAGGAAUAUUGGUCAAUGGGCGAGAGCCUGAACCAGCCAAGUAGCGUGCAGGAAGACGGCCCUAUGGGUUGUAAACUGCUUUUAUAAGGGAAUAAAGUGAGUCUCGUGAGACUUUUUGCAUGUACCUUAUGAAUAAGGACCGGCUAAUUCCGUGCCAGCAGCCGCGGUAAUACGGAAGGUCCGGGCGUUAUCCGGAUUUAUUGGGUUUAAAGGGAGCGUAGGCCGGAGAUUAAGCGUGUUGUGAAAUGUAGAUGCUCAACAUCUGAACUGCAGCGCGAACUGGUUUCCUUGAGUACGCACAAAGUGGGCGGAAUUCGUGGUGUAGCGGUGAAAUGCUUAGAUAUCACGAAGAACUCCGAUUGCGAAGGCAGCUCACUGGAGCGCAACUGACGCUGAAGCUCGAAAGUGCGGGUAUCGAACAGGAUUAGAUACCCUGGUAGUCCGCACGGUAAACGAUGGAUGCCCGCUGUUGGUCUGAAUAGGUCAGCGGCCAAGCGAAAGCAUUAAGCAUCCCACCUGGGGAGUACGCCGGCAACGGUGAAACUCAAAGGAAUUGACGGGGGCCCG